GAUGGACAGCCAGACAGACCAGAAAUGGGCAGCUCUGACCUCUUGCUGGCAGAUUCCUGGUCUCCCUCGAAAGAAAACAAGGCCUGCACCAGGCUGGCUGUGGGUACCUGCUGGCUUUCCUCGUGUAUCUGGUCUCAGCCUGGAGCAGGGAGGCUGUGCUUCCCCUGGCCUGCUAGGUCUGCUGCUCCACCUCAGAAGGCCACCUGCCUGCCCGCCCCCUCCUGGAUCCUCUUCAUAGAAGCCGGCAGUGCCAAGCUCCAGGAUUUGGGGCUGCACGUGUAUCCCACAUGUUUCUGGAGCACCAGGUCUGGGGCUCAAACUGUACCAUCGGCCAACUUAACCAUCAGGCCACCAGCUGGUGCUGUAAAAACUUCGGAAAAUGAGACAGAACAACUCAGCACUCCUCUUCCUAGGCAGUUACCCAGGAGGUAACUAUGUGCAGACUCAUCACCAGGGCUCAGCCGGCUUCGAGCAAGGUGGCCAGCGCGCUGCAGAGCGGGAGGAGCCGGUGAGCCUCAGAGCUGCCGGAGCAGGUGAAAGAAGCCACGCUCAAAGGCCACGCACUUUGUGGUUCAGUCUGCCAGAACCCUGGGAGAGUCAGCACCAACGUGGGGAGAUCAGCGGGGGCAGGGCCGAGGGGCCUUCCGGGACCACAAAAAUGCCCUGGUUCUCGAGAGCCAUGGGCUGCGCCUUGGUCAGGCCCAUGGGUGGAGACCGGAUGGCAUCACUGCGUGUGGCUCAUACUUCAAUAAAGCUUAAUUUUUACAGA